CGCUGAACUUAAGCAUAUCACUAAGCGGAGGAAAAGAAACUACCAG
rnacentral:rRNA from 1 species